GACGAACCGUGCGAACGUUGUUCGGAAUCACUGGGCUUAAAGGGCGCGUAGGCGGGCUAGCAAGUCAGGGGUGAAAUCCCACGGCUCAACCGUGGAAGUGCCUUUGAUACUGCGAGUCUUGAGGGAGGUAGGGGCGUGCGGAACUUCCGGUGGAGCGGUGAAAUGCGUAGAUAUCGGAAGGAACACCGGUGGCGAAAGCGGCGCGCUGGACCUCUACUGACGCUGAGGCGCGAAAGCCAGGGGAGCAAACGGG
rnacentral:rRNA from 1 species